CCGAAAAGGAAAUCCAAACAAGAAGAUCAAUGAGUUUGCAGGAGCUUUUGAUUUUCAGAACACAAAUGGGAACAAUCUCAAUGUUUGUGUUUGGUACAACUCCACCUACAAGAACGAUACAGUGGUUCGACCUAUGGCUCUGAUUCGAGUCCCUCGCUUAGUUAACAUGGCAUCUAAUGCAUAUCUUGAGUUCCUAAAAGGUUCUGAGA